GUGUGGGCACAGCUCCAGUACACAAAGCAUCACAAAAUCACAAAAAUUAAAAGUUGGAGAGGACCUAGGAAGCCAUGGAUCUCAACUUGUAUCAGAACAAGAGUUCUCUUUACAUUAUACCCCAAAAUGGUGGUUAAGUAUUUAUAUGAGGACCUUUAUUAAGGGAGACCCUGCCAGUCUCAAAACUGUCAAAUGAGUUGUAUGUAGAAUCCACCAGAGGAACAAAGCAAAGGAGAGGUCUGCAAGACAGUCCUGUGGUGAUUCCUUCUUCAUCAUCACUCACCAGGCGGGGAAGACCUUCGGGACAAACUGUCAGCAUUCAUAACAGACCCCAUGUAUCUCCCGUGCACCAGUAUGAGGAGUGAUAAUGAUAUGUUUGCCUUUCAGACUCUUCUUGAAGACCUUCAAGGAGGGAGUUCCUGAUCUCAAGAAACACACAGUCCAGGAGGGGAGAAGAGACAUAUAUCCUGAAGGAGAGAACAAACAGCAAAUAUCAAAGUUCCUGGCAUGGUUACUGGCACACUAUAGUGGUGAAGUCCUGAAUGGUGGGUGUGGUGGACAGAGAGAAACUGAAGAAUUGCUAAUAUAUAUAUUCCCUAGGGAAGACAGGAAGAAGACUCAUAAUCCAGAUUAGUUUAGUUUCAUGGUCCUGCCCUUUGGAGAUAAUCCAGUCAGAAAUCCAAAUUAUGUCAAGUCCCUAAGGCUAAAUUCUCCUUAUAAAUUUACUUAUGCCCCAUUCUGUGGAUACUGCCCUCCUUUGUGUUAGUCUG